UAGUUUUAGGACUGUUGGACGAUUGGACUCUUUUGAAACUUUUUUCCCAUUUCUCUUUUGUAAGUAGGAAAUCCAUUAAAACUGCUUCUUUCCGAUGAAAAAAGAAGUGAUAUCAGACUUGCCCAACUACAUCUAAUUUCUUACCCCUCCAUCACAGCCUUAUGCAGGUACAAGAGACCCUAAGGGGGAAAAGAUCUAAAGCACACAGUGAAGACAACUGAAGUGUUUUCAUUUUCUAAGUACAAAAAGUGUACAGACUGCUUAAGUGGAUCAAAAUCAAUGUGGCUUUAUGAGAAUCCAUCACUUUUCAUAAUUAAAGGUGGCAUUAGAAAGAGAGCAAAUGUUUUUGGUGUUUUUUUUUUAACCUGGCAGUUCAACCAACCCUCUUUAUGAUGUUAUUCUUCAGAAGGGUUGCGGACACUGCUUGGAAAGCUCAAAUUCCACGAGAGAGCCCGUUCUAAUAGAAAUGUAAAAACAAAUAAAUCCUGAGUUGUUUCUGCCAACAUGAAGCCUGAGCCUGGUCGGGGGUUGGUUUCACAUCAGUUUAACUCCAGUGUAAUUCUGUUGUUCCAGGCCUUGCUCUCAGUUGUAAAUAAUUGAUUGUAAUCCAGAACAACUCUUGAGUUUAAUGGAGCUAUUCUAGAUUUGCAUGACUAUAACUGCAAGGAAAGUCAUACUUUAAAGGAGUAACUCUAAUUUUCAUUGGCAUAGGCAAGAGCAAAAGCUGAUCUUUCUCAUUUUCUGACCCUUUUGGACACAGCAAGCCAAAUUAAAUGGUGCUCUAAGUUAGAGCUGAGACCUCGUUCCGCACCCUGUUACAUCCGUUUCACACAGGGCAACUCCACUGAAGUUAAUAAGUCAGAUCCUGGUAUAAAUAGUUGUAGUUCCACUAACGUUGGUGGAGCUAUGCUGAUUUAUGCCAGUUGAGGAUUAGAGCCAGUGGGGCAAUGCUGGUAUGGCUAAGUGGUAAGUGAGGCCCGUAGAUUGUAAGUGAAUAAGAACACAGGUUUCAUUGAUAAAACAGCAUAAUGUGGCCCACUCAAGCAUUCAGUGCAGUGUAGUUUAUACCCUAAGGAGCUGCAAGAUGUAAGUUUUAAAUAGGAAAAGCAAUGAAAAAGAGGGUACAA